UCUUAAAAUAGCCUUAGAAGAAAUUAAAAAUGGUGCCAGCAAGAAGGCCGUGGCCAAAAAAUAUAAUAUUCCUAGAUCAACCUUGCAAUUCAGGAAAAGUGCAAAAUUCUCCAAAAUAUCUCACGGACCUCCACCAAUUUUAACACCGGCAGAAGAACAGCUCUUGGUCAAAUAGGCAUCAGAUUCCGUGAAAAAAGGUUUUCCUCACAGAAAGGAAGACAUCUAAGACAGACAUUUAAAGCAUCCUCGCCCAACGCCCUUUAAAAAUAAUUUCCCAGGAGACGGGGGUGGUACAAGAGCUUUUUGCGUCGAAAUUCUUCUUUAACUGAAAGGCAGACAGAAGCAGUAACAUCGGCAAGUGCCAACGUUAGUGAAAAUAAUAUACGAGAUGGACACACCACACACCUUACUUUACAAGUCAGUCAAUUGUGUUAAAAGUUAAAUAUAAUCCUGAUAGCUCUUUACUCUAACGCAACGCGAAUCUUACAGCCGGCGGAUGUUUCUGCUUUCAAACCCCCAGACAAUGUGGAAGAAGGGGGAAAUCGAUUGGAGAAGAGAACAUCCCACCGAAUCAUUAUCCAGAGAAAAAUUGGCACCAAUUCUAGAAAAAAUUUUACCAAAAUUAAAAGCUGACUCCAUCGCCAAUGGUUUUCGUGUAUGUGGGUUGUUCCCUUGGAAUCCCGACGCUGUGGAUUACUCAAAGUGCUUAGGAAAAACAAUGUUUUACUUAACACAUGUGAAAGUAGUAAAGUAUUAACCGAAAAAACUCUUAACUGUUAAAAGUUUAAGCAAGUGGUGGGGCAAUAAAAGCUAGUGCAGUUUAAAGCAAA